CCUUGAUCCACUUGGCUACAUCCGCC
rnacentral:tRNA from 1 species